AUUGAACGCUGGCGGCAGGCCUAACACAUGCAAGUCGAGCGAGUGGCGGACGUGUGAGUAAUGUCUGGGAAUCUGCCCGAUAGAGGGGUAUAACUACUGGAAACUGUCGCUAAUACCGCAUUCCCUCGGAUGUGCCCAGAUGGGAUUAGCUAGUAGGUGGGGUAACGGCUCACCUAGGCGACGAUCCCUAGCUGGUCUGAGAGGAUGACCAGACACACUGGAACUGAGACACGGUACAGACUCCGACGGGAGGCAGCAGUGGGGAAUAUUGAACAAUGGGCGCAAGCCUGAUGCAGCCAUGCCGCGUGUAUGAAGAAGGCCUUAGGGUUGUAAAGUACUUUCAGCGAGGAGGCGUUACUCGCAGAAGAAGCACCGGCUAACUCCGUGCCAGCCGCCGCGGUAAUUC
rnacentral:rRNA from 1 species